AUUGAACGCUGGCGGCAUGCCUUACACAUGCAAGUCGAACGGUAACAGGUCUUCGGAUGCUGACGAGUGGCGAACGGGUGAGUAAUACAUCGGAACGUGCCUAGUAGUGGGGGAUAACCACUCGAAAGAGUGACUAAUACCGCAUGAGAUCUACGGAUGAAAGCAGGGGAUCGCAAGACCUUGUGCUACUAGAGCGGCCGAUGGCAGAUUAGGUAGUUGGUGGGAUAAAAGCUUACCAAGCCGACGAUCUGUAGCUGGUCUGAGAGGACGAUCAGCCACACUGGGACUGAGACACGGCCCAGACUCCUACGGGAGGCAGCAGUGGGGAAUUUUGGACAAUGGGCGCAAGCCUGAUCCAGCAAUGCCGCGUGCAGGAUGAAGGCCUUCGGGUUGUAAACUGCUUUUGUACGGAACGAAAAGACUCUUUCUAAUAAAGAGGGUCCAUGACGGUACCGUAAGAAUAAGCACCGGCUAACUACGUGCCAGCAGCCGCCGUAAGAC
rnacentral:rRNA from 1 species